rnacentral:rRNA from 1 species
UUUUUAAUUGAGAUCUUGUAUGAAUGAUUGGACAAAAGGAAAACUGUCUUUAUAUUAAAAUUUGAAUUUAACUUUUAAGUGAAAAGGCUUAAAUUUUCUAAAGGGACGAUAAGACCCUAUAAAACUUUACAUUAAAAUUAAUAUUUUAUUGAAUUUUUAUUAUAAUAAUUUAAUUUAAUUUUUUUGUUAUGUUGGGGAGACAAAAGCUAAAAUUUAUAUUAACUGCUUGGGAGAAAAACAAUAAUAAAUGAGUUACAGUUUAUAGAUCCUUUAUAAAGAUUAAGAGAUUAAGUUACUUUAGGGAUAACAGCGUUAUUUUUUUUUAGAGUUCAUAUCAAAAAAAAAGAUUGCGACCUCGAUGUUGAAUUAAAAUAUCUUUAUAAUGCAGGUGUUAUAAAANAAAGUCUGUUCGACUUUUAAUUUUUUA